GCAGCUGCAGACUAACUACGUACCAGCAGGCGGCGGUAAUACGUAGGGUGCAAGUCGAUAUCCAGGAAUUAUAGGGCGUAAAGAGCUCGUAGGCGGUUUGUCGCGUCUGCCGUGAAAGUCCGGGGCUCAACUCCGGAUCUGCGGUGGGUACGGGCAGACUAGAGUGAUGUAGGGGAGACUGGAAUUCCUGGUGUAGCGGUGAAAUGCGCAGAUAUCAGGAGGAACACCGAUGGCGAAGGCAGGUCUCUGGGCAUUAACUGACGCUGAGGAGCGAAAGCAUGGGGAGCGAACAGGAUUAGAUACCCUGGUAGUCCAUCCCGUAAACGUUGGGCACUAGGUGUGGGGGACAUUCCUCGUUUUCCGCGCCGUAGCUAACGCAUUAAGUGCUCCGCCUGGGGAGUACGUCCGCAAGGCUAAAACUCAAAGGAAUUGACGGGGACCCGCACAAGCGGCGGAGCAUGCGGAUUAAUUCGAUGCAACGUGAAGAACCUUACCAAGGCUUGACAUGAACCAGACCGGGCUGGAAACAGUCCUUCCCCUUGUGGGUUGGUUUACAGGUGGUGCAUGGUUGUCGUCAGCUCGUGUCGUGAGAUGUUGGGUUAAGUCCCGCAACGAGCGCAACCCUCGUUUUAUGUUGCCAGCACGUGAUGGUGGGGACUCAUAGGAGACUGCCGGGGUCAACUCGGAGGAAGGUGGGGACGACGUCAAAUCAUCAUGCCCCUUAUGUCUUGGGCUUCACGCAUGCUACAAUGGCCGGUACAAAGGGUUGCGAUACUGUGAGGUGGAGCUAAUCCCAAAAAGCCGGUCUCAGUUCGGAUUGGGGUCUGCAACUCGACCCCAUGAAGUCGGAGUCGUUAGUAAUCGCAGAUCAGCAACGCUGCGGUGAAUACGUUCCCGGGCCUUGUACACACCGCCCGUCAAGUCACGAAAGUUGGUAACACCCGAAGCCGGUGGCCUAACCCCUUGUGGGAGGGAGCUGUCGAAGGUGCCCCGCCGGUCA
rnacentral:rRNA from 1 species